CCUACGGGUGGCAGCAGUGAGGAAUAUUGGUCAAUGGGCGCGAGCCUGAACCAGCCAAGUAGCGUGAAGGAUGACUGCCCUACGGGUUGUAAACUUCUUUUAUAAAGGAAUAAAGUGAGGCACGUGUGCCUUUUUGUAUGUACUUUAUGAAUAAGGAUCGGCUAACUCCGUGCCAGCAGCCGCGGUAAUACGGAGGAUCCGAGCGUUAUCCGGAUUUAUUGGGUUUAAAGGGAGCGUAGGCGGGUUGUUAAGUCAGUUGUGAAAGUUUGCGGCUCAACCGUAAAAUUGCAGUUGAUACUGGCAUCCUUGAGUACAGUAGAGGUAGGCGGAAUUCGUGGUGUAGCGGUGAAAUGCUUAGAUAUCACGAAGAACUCCGAUUGCGAAGGCAGCCUGCUGGACUGUAACUGACGCUGAUGCUCGAAAGUGUGGGUAUCAAACAGGAUUAGAUACCCCAGUAGUC
rnacentral:rRNA from 1 species